rnacentral:rRNA from 1 species
GGUGUAUAUGGGCUCAUACAUCCUACCUGCCUGGUGAAGAUUUAAACGGCCACGGUAUUUUGACUGUGCAAAGGUAGCAUAAUCAAUUGUCUAUUAGUUGUAGACUCUUAUGAAAGGUUGAACACAUCUUUAUUUUUUUUAGGUGAGGUGAAUUUAUGGGUUUAUUAAAAAUAAUGAAAUGAUUUAUUGGGACGAGAAGACCCUAUUGAGUUUUAUAUAGUAAAUUAGUUUAUUAGUAUUGGGAGAGUGAAAUUUUUUGAGUAUAUUUUGCUGGGGCAGUGUAUUAUAAAAAUGCAUAAGUAAUUGUUAAUAUUGAUGACAUUGAUCCAUUAAUUAAAUGAUAGCUGGAAUUAAAUUACUGUAGGGAUAACAGCAUAAUAAGUUUUGAGAGUUCUUAUUGAUGAUUGUGUUUGCGACCUCGAUGUUGAUUUAAGAUUCCCAUAAGGAGUAGAAUAUUUUUAGGGUAGUUUGUUCAACCAUUAAAUUCUUAUU